rnacentral:rRNA from 1 species
CAGCCGCCACGGUAAUACAGAGGGUGCGAGCGUUAAUCGGAUUUACUGGGCGUAAAGCGUGCGUAGGCGGCUUCUUAAGUCGGAUGUGAAAUCCCUGAGCUUAACUUAGGAAUUGCAUUCGAUACUGGGAAGCUAGAGUAUGGGAGAGGAUGGUAGAAUUCCAGGUGUAGCGGUGAAAUGCGUAGAGAUCUGUAGGAAUACCGAUGGCGAAGGCAGCCAUCUGGCCUAAUACUGACGCUGAGGUACGAAAGCAUGGGGAGCAAACAGGAUUAGAUACCCCCGUAGUCCCUGUCUCUUAUAC